rnacentral:rRNA from 1 species
GAUGAACGCUGGCGGCAGGCUUAACACAUGCAAGUCGAGCGGGGUGAUGGUGCUUGCACUAUCACUUAGCGGCGGACGGGUGAGUAAUGCUUAGGAAUCUGCCUAUUAGUGGGGGACAACAUAUCGAAAGGGAUGCUAAUACCGCAUACGUCCUACGGGAGAAAGCAGGGGACCACUUGUGACCUUGCGCUAAUAGAAGAGCCUAAGUCGGAUUAGCUAGUUGGUGGGGUAAAGGCCUACCAAGGCGACGAUCUGUAGCGGGUCUGAGAGGAUGAUCCGCCACACUGGGACUGAGACACGGCCCAGACUCCUACGGGAGGCAGCAGUGGGGAAUAUUGGACAAUGGGGGGAACCCUGAUCCAGCCAUGCCGCGUGUGUGAAGAAGGCCUUAUGGUUGUAAAGCACUUUAAGCGAGGAGGAGGCUUACCUAGUUAAUACCUGGGAUAAGUGGACGUUACUCGCAGAAUAAGCACCGGCUAACUCUGUGCCAGCCGCCGCAGUAA